rnacentral:rRNA from 1 species
GACGAACGCUGGCGGCGUGCCUAAUACAUGCAAGUAGGACGCAGUCGCGAACGGGUGAGUAACGCGCAGGUAACUACCUAUUAGAGGGGGAUAACUACUGGCAACGAUAGCUAAUAACGCAUACUAGUAGCUGGACCUGCGUUGUAUUUGCUAGUAGGUAGGGUAAUGGCCUCCCUAGGCAACGAUACCGAGCCGAGCUUAGAGGGUGAUCUGCCACAAUGGGACUGAGACACGGCCCAGACUCCGACGGGAAGCAGCAGUAGGGAAUGUUUGGCAAAUGGGGGAAACCUGACCGAGCAACGCCGCGUGAGUGAAGAAAGUUUUGGGAUCGUAAAGCUCUGUUGUUGAGGAAGCGGUACUUACCCAGGAAGGAACGGCUAACUCCGUGCCAGCAGCCGCGGUAAUUC